AGUACUUUCGAUUCACUCACUGGGUAGCCACAAGUAAGCGUGUAGCCAGUGGUAUCGUAUGCCAACAUCUUGGGCCUUUGGGGCCUUCAAAGCAAGCAAGUCAGUAAAAGUAAAAUACAACACAUAAUCGAUUUUGAAAUUCACAGAUAUUUAGCAUCAUCAAACUUUUAUUUAUGUUUACAUACUUCUUCGUUGUUUUCGUCUUUGCUGAAAAGAUUACGGUCACAAGAAAAUGGCGGCCCAGCAGGCGGCUGGAAUCAACUGAGUCGUUUAGACAGUUUAGACAUCAAGCGAAAACGAGAUUCGGACAUUUGAAUGAAUGUUAUACGAACAUCCCCUAAAAUGAAUAGAGUCAUCACAUAAGGUUUACGUGAAUUGACCAAACGUCAAACAAUCUACGUGAAUUUCCAGUGUGAAAAACUCGAUUUUGAAAAUGGCGAGCAGUGGCCCUCGAAGUUAUGAAAGUUUCCAUGUGUUCAACUGGACCGAGUGCCUGCGUGAGUCCGGAAGUUUACCCGUUCCUGCCGAAUGCUUCAAACAGGCCGUCGGUAUGAAGCUAGAGACACUGGAACCAUGUAAUGCGACUUCAACCUGCAUCGGUGGUGUUGUGGUAGUUCUUGGAUCUCGACUUCGGCUUCGGUUGGAUGGCAGUGACAACAUAAACGAUUUCUGGAGGCUUGUCGAUUUCAGAUACCACGACGUUAUUAGUUGCUUUUUAAUCCAUUGGAAUUAUAUGACAAUUUUCUGAAAUAAAUA